CACUUUAUUCAAACAAAUACAAAUAUAAGCUCUAUGUAAAGUAGUUAAAAUGAAAAGUACUUACCUUUAUAAACUGCCAGAUUGCGUUCUGUCACCUCUGUGUUAAAACAAGCAGUCCCAUUAGCAACUACAGCUGUGACUACCUCUCUAUGACACGGUAAGAAAAAUCCUACACCAUCAGUCUGUAUUAACACUCCAGUUAACGGGCUUGUCUUCUGUGCGAGAGAUGUACAGACAGAUCUAGCUAAAACAAAACGGGCGAGAAGGCGCUAAAGGCGAGAUAGGGCAGAGGAACAGAAUUGUAGCAUCCCCGAUCAAUCCUGUGCAGCCUUCCCUAGUACGCGUCUUCUUCUCCUCUUCUGCAAAACGAAAGGAAGCUCAUUGCAAUGUAAUGCAAGCAGUUGUGCUCUGGCGUUGAUGACUAAGUAGAGUCUGCCCCCUUUUUUUUUAACGUUUCCAGAUGGAAGCCGUUUCUCAUCUGUCACAAGAACCAAGCCAGCACAGAAAUAAUAGCUUGAAUGGUUAAACUGGGUUCAGGAGGCUUCGACCAAUCAGAGUAUGAAGAUGGAACCAGGAACCUCCCCGGCAACCCUGCACUCUUCAGCGGAGAAGCCCGUGACAAAAUCUACAUCUACUCAAAACAUACGUUGGAGAUGGGUGGAUCAAAAAUCACUGGGGAUGAAAACAAAGGAUUUGGGACUUUUUCAGCUCAGCUUAUUAUCUGGACUAUGGGAUUGUUGUUUUCUUCCAAAGACUUCUGUAAACAGCUCUUGUAUAAAUUUCCACAUAAAACACCCAUCUACAACACAGAAAAGGAAUCAUAAUAAACUGUGAUGUAAAUGUUGCUAUAUUUAGCAGAUGAAUGGGAAUGCCCUUUAGUAGCAUGUCAUGUUUAAAUCUCCAUGAAUUGAGUGUUUCCUUAUUUUAACAUGCUUAAAGAAAUAUACAAAACACAAAUUUAAAUACCAUAAUUAUAAAAUCUGUUUCCUAGCUGGUGCUAGCAAAUUACAACAAAAUAAAAUAAUUAAAAAACAGAACACUUCAAUUUGAUUGCAACAUUUUGCAUUGCAGGAGUUUGCUGAGCUUUAUUUACCAUUAGAGGGGGAUUGAAUAAAACAGUAAGUGUUCUUCAUGGAUAUGGCCAUUCUAAUAUAAGUUUCUAAAUAGGUGUUUCUACAGCCAAUCUGUUAGAUUUAGGACAAAAGGAGUUUGAUCCUUUUUUUAUUUUGCUCCUGGUUGGUGAAACCUCAUAUUCAGCUGUGAACUGCUAUUCCUGUCAUAAAGCCAGGGAAUCUCACACAUGAUCCUUCUCUCAUUAGCCAUUUGGCAGAGGAUAUAGUGAACAAUCAAUUACGUCAGAUUAUUAGCCUGUCUAAUAAUUGAAUCAAGCUGUCAGUGGAAUAAUGGAUUCACUGAUCACAGGGCUGCACAAAGCAGUGUUCUGUCUUUCUAUAAAAGACACUGCAAGAUGGCACUGCAAUCAAUAGUUCUUCAGAUUUUAAUCAGAUUCCUAUAGGCACAAAUUAGACAAAAGGUAUAGGCAAUGUCUUGUUCUAAAGCCACUUCCAUUCUGCUGGAGUUCUACAUGUAUGAGCUAUGUAUUAUAUAUUUUGCUUUGGCUGGAAGUACAGGCAAACAUCAAACACUACCACUGUUGUCAUAAAUAACACUGACAGUGACAGUUCAGUAAAGGUAAAAAUGAUGUGCAUUUUUCUCAAAACAAAAGAUUUAGAAUACAAAGAUUAUAUUACAGAACUCAAACUUGAAAAAUGGUUUCUGAGGUCUUUAGCGUAGGUGUAAAUGUCAGUGCUCUUUAAAUUUUUUUUUCAGCUUUUGUUUUGUCUUAUGAAUCAGAAAAGAUGUGGCAUUUUAAACCGUAAACCAGGACUUGUCAAAUUAAUGUCCCAUUUUAUGUAAGUAAUCUUUCUAACACCUUUACAUAGACAUACUGAUAUGGAAGCUAUUUUUCAUAGUAUGAUGAUGUAUUUUAGAUUUUAAAACAGAUUUAAUGUUUCUGAAAUAAUUUGGAUGCAAUUUAUCUAUCCGUCUGUCAUUUAAAUGGAUUGAACCACAAUUAUUUAAUGGAAAAGUGUAAUUAUAAUUUCCAAAUGUAACUCAGCAUCAGCCUGUUUCUUAUGAAGAAGAGAUCAAGCAUCUGAGUGUUAAAGAGCAUUACAAGACCCUUGUAACAUGUCAGUAUUUCAUUAAAAAUGUUUGCCAAACCUUUGGUGUCCAAAGACACAUUAAAAAGUAACUGCAAAUUGCAGGCUGAGAAUGCAAAGUUUGAAAUUGCUUUAUUUGACUAAAGGAUCAAAGAAAGUGGAGUCUGAUAGAAAUAAUCUAGAUAUUGUAUUUUUCAGAGUUUGUAAAGAAAAUCUUCAAAACUGGAAUGGAAGAAAGACAGCUCACUGUCUAAGAGACACUUUCUUAACUCCUAUACCAUUGAUCAGUCAAGCAGAUACCUGAAUAAGAAAAUCCCUAUUUUAUUGAAUUUUGUAAAACUGAGCUGAAUCACUUAUUCAGAUCGCUUAUCAAAAACAAAAUAAUUUAACUCAAUUUUUUUUUUAUCUUUGAACUACCUUCACUGGAGUCUUUGGAAAGCACCAGGGGAAAAAAAAAAAACAAUAGUAGCAAUGACAAAAAGAGCACUGAACAUUUUAAUUCCUUAGCACAAUUUGCAUAUUGUUUAAAUUAACCUGUAUGUUUCAACAUUGCCUCUUUAGAUGAAAUCACUUGGUGACUCACUCCCAAGGCAUUCUGUCAGCUUUAAAAUCAUCAUUAUCCAAUUAUAAUGAAAAAAAAAACAUAUUCUAAAGAAAACUGAUGAAUAAUUCAAUAUAAAAUGUGUUUUUAAGAAAAUCUGAGCAGUAUUUUUGAUACUCUAUUUCCAGCUCUUUUGAAAAAAUCAG
rnacentral:lncRNA from 1 species